GCUUAUAUGAAAAUUGUGAUAGUGAAGUUUGGUGCAAGACUUAAUUGUGUGCAUAUGAACAUUUUUAAUUAUACAGUUUGUGUGGAAAGUCUCACCUGAAUGUUCCUAACUUUGUCUGAAACGUUCUCCUGGGACAUGGUCUGUCCUGGAUAUGUCUUCUCUGAGUCCUCUGGGAUAAAUACACUCUCGUGUGAAAAAGCUCUGGACCCUAGGGUGUUUAACUCCCUGUGAACGUAGAUGUUAACACACUGUUUAAUUAAAACAUUUCUAUUAAUGUUUUCAGUACGCAAAUCAACAAAUAAACUCAGCAUCUACAAUAAAAGCAAUAUAUUUAAUAAAAUAUAAAAUUUUACCUUGGACACUCAUCAUUCUCCUCCUUAACUGAGACCACCCCAUUGCAAACAUCAUCAGUGGAAUGGCUAGGUUUAAGUUCAGAUCCCUCAAACCCACAUUCUGCUUCCCUCCUUUUCUUCUUCCCAAAUAGACGCCGGAAUGGCUGGAAUUUUCCCUGCCGUCGCCGCUCUGGUAAAAAUGGGGUCGGUAGGGGCAAAGAAAAGUGAUAAAUAGUCAGAGCUUCAAGUGAAAUGGCUGGGGUGACAGGGCCACUCUACACCACAGAAGUCGAUAAAUUCUAACAGCGAAAGAUCAGCGUAGAUCUGUUACAGGCUAAAAGUGGAAAGUAGUGUGGAGUUACACAUUAAGUAAGUGUUGCUGCUCAAAACACAAUAACAAAGAAAGUAAGACAUUUGGUACCUGGCGUCAGUCACCACUUCUGUUGUUGUUCUGAUGUGAGUUCCUGAAGUUAUUACUGUUCCAGAGUUUACUGCUUUACGAGCGCAUAUGACUGGAUGAUUUUAUGAUUUCUCAUAUUUUGUCUCAUCAUUUCCCUCUCAAAGCCACGUCCAAGUCACAGUCUGUUCCCAGCCGCUACUACUCCAUUUCUCUGGCCCACAAUGCAGUGCUGCAGGCGUCCUCAAUCACUGAGGCAUAUGAUUGGGAGGAAGCCUCUGGAGCAGUUUCUCUGGUUUCCUCUACUUGAACACACAAAUCUCCAGGGUGAAUAAGAGGACCAUGCCCCCAAACCGAGGUCAGCAGUGGGAACUUCUGAGGCUGUUUCCUGUCUUAAAAAUGGACAUUAUAGCUUUCAAAUGUCAGGCCCAAGAAUGUCAAAUUAAAAGAGGAGUAAGGUAGCUUGUGUGUCUAGCUGUAAAUUUAGUGUAUUUAAAGAAAAUGCUCUCCUUGUUGCUUCACGCUGUUUUAUGUGCUAAUCCAGUGUGUGUUUUAAUAAUAUGUUCAAUUUUAAUAUAAUAUUUUGUCAGAUAUUUAGAUUUUAUUUUCAUUGAGGAUUCUUGACCUUUCCAUUUAAAUUAUGAUUUAAUAACUUUACAUUUUCAUGAGGCAAAAAAUUAUGUUUUUG
rnacentral:lncRNA from 1 species